rnacentral:rRNA from 1 species
GUGAGGAAUAUUGGUCAAUGGACGAGAGUCUGAACCAGCCAAGUCGCGUGAAGGAAGACGGCUCUAUGAAUUGUAAACUUCUUUUGUGCAGGAAUAAAGUGGGUUACGUGUAACCUUUUGUAUGUACUGUACGAAUAAGGAUCGGCUAACUCCGUGCCAGCAGCCGCGGUAAUACGGAGGAUCCGAGCGUUAUCCGGAUUUAUUGGGUUUAAAGGGUGCGUAGGUGGAUUGAUAAGUCAGCGGUGAAAGUUUGCAGCUUAACUGUAAAAUUGCCGUUGAAACUGUCGGUCUUGAGUGCAAAUGAGGUAGGCGGAAUGUGUUGUGUAGCGGUGAAAUGCUUAGAUAUAACACAGAACUCCGAUUGCGAAGGCAGCUUACUGGGAUGCAACUGACACUGAUGCACGAAAGCGUGGGUAUCAAACAGGAUUAGAAACCCCUGUAGUCC